rfam:Felis catus isolate Cinnamon breed Abyssinian chromosome B1, whole genome shotgun sequence.
GCCUGGGUGGCUCAGUCAGUUGAGCGUUCGACUUUGGCUCAGGUCAUGAUCUCAUGGUUUGUGGGUUCGAGCCCCACGUCAGGCU